rnacentral:rRNA from 1 species
AUUGAACGCUAGCGGGAUGCCUUACACAUGCAAGUCGAACGGCAGCACGGACUUCGGUCUGGUGGCGAGUGGCGAACGGGUGAGUAAUGUAUCGGAACGUGCCCAGUAGCGGGGGAUAACUACUCGAAAGAGUAGCUAAUACCGUAUACGCCCUACGGGGGAAAGGGGGGGAUCGCAAGACCUCUCACUAUUGGAGCGGCCGAUAUCGGAUUAGCUAGUUGGUGGGGGAAAGGCCCACCAAGGCGACGAUCCGUAGCUGGUUUGAGAGGACGACCAGCCACACUGGGACUGAGACACGGCCCAGACUCCUACGGGAGGCAGCAGUGGGGAAUUUUGGACAAUGGGGGCAACCCUGAUCCAGCCAUCCCGCGUGUGCGAUGAAGGCCUUCGGGUUGUAAAGCACUUUUGGCAGGAAAGAAAUCGCAUGGGUUAAUACCCUGUGUGGAUGACGGUACCUGCAGAAUAAGCACCGGCUAACUACGUGCCAGCAGCCGCAGUAA